rnacentral:rRNA from 1 species
UACGGAGGGGGCUAGCGUUGUUCGGAAUUACUGGGCGUAAAGCGCACGUAGGCGGCUUUGUAAGUUAGAGGUGAAAGCCCGGGGCUCAACUCCGGAAUUGCCUUUAAGACUGCAUCGCUAGAAUUGUGGAGAGGUAAGUGGAAUUCCGAGUGUAGAGGUGAAAUUCGUAGAUAUUCGGAAGAACACCAGUGGCGAAGGCGGUCUGCUGGGCCAAGACUGACGCUGAGGCGCGACAGCGGUGGGGAGCAAACAGG